rnacentral:rRNA from 1 species
CCUACGGGUGGCAGCAGUCGAGAAUUUUUCACAAUGGGCGAAAGCCUGAUGGAGCGACGCCGCGUGGGGGAUGAAGGGCUUCGGCUCGUAAACCCCUGUCAUUUGCGAACAAGUGCGUCCGGCGAACAACCGGACGCUUGAUAGUAGCAGAAGAGGAAGGGACGGCUAACUCUGUGCCAGCAGCCGCGGUAAUACAGAGGUCCCAAGCGUUGUUCGGAUUCACUGGGCGUAAAGGGUGCGUAGGUGGUGAUCUAAGUCGGGUGUGAAAUCUCCGGGCUCAACCCGGAGGGUGCGCCCGAAACUGGAUUGCUGGAGGAUGGGAGGGGAGACUGGAAUUCUCGGUGUAGCAGUGAAAUGCGUAGAUAUCGAGAGGAACACCGGUGGCGAAGGCGAGUCUCUGGACCAUUCCUGACACUGAAUCACGAAAGCCGGGGGAGCAAACAGGAUUAGAUACCCUGGUAGUC